rnacentral:rRNA from 1 species
AUUGAACGCUGGCGGAAUGCUUUACACAUGCAAGUCGAACGGUAGAGGGGGCAACCCCUCGAGAGUGGCGAACGGGUGAGUAAUAUAUCGGAACGUGCCCAGUCGUGGGGGAUAACGUAGCGAAAGUUACGCUAAUACCGCAUACGAUCUAAGGAUGAAAGCGGGGGAUCGCAAGACCUCGCGCGAUUGGAGCGGCCGAUAUCAGAUUAGGUAGUUGGUGGGGUAAAGGCCCACCAAGCCAACGAUCUGUAGCUGGUCUGAGAGGACGACCAGCCACACUGGAACUGAGACACGGUCCAGACUCCUACGGGAGGCAGCAGUGGGGAAUUUUGGACAAUGGACGCAAGUCUGAUCCAGCCAUUCCGCGUGCAGGAUGAAGGCCCUCGGGUUGUAAACUGCUUUUGUACGGAACGAAAAGGUUUCCAUUAAUACUGGGAGCUCAUGACGGUACCGUAAGAAUAAGCACCGGCUAACUACGUGUCAGCCGCCGCCGUAA